rnacentral:lncRNA from 1 species
UUCAACUGACAUUUUUCUCUUAAGAGAAGAUCUAGCAGCAUCUUACCUAACAACAAAAUGGCUGAGUUUCUAGAUAUAGUCCAAUGGCCCUUAAUAAUCUUAAUACAAAUACGAAGCUGAAAUUCAAAAGAAGUUCCUUAAUUUUAACUUUAUCCAGAGAGUCCCCCCAGAUUGGCAGGCAUAAGCCAGCUGAGUAUGACCACUCUCUCAUAAAUAGAUUAUAUUCGAGUGUAGGCCCCAAUGUAGUGUUGCGACCAUUGAGCGUUUGUUUAGUAAAGCUUCUGUUUUGCUGAGGACGUGCCGAACGUAUGGUUCUCAAGAUAGAUUUUUGCCGAUAAUAUA